AUACCUACGGGGGGCAGCAGUGGGGGAUAUUGCACAAUGGGGGGAACCCUGAUGCAGCGACGCCGCGUGGGUGAAGAAGCGCCUCGGCGCGUAAAGCCCUGUCAGCAGGGAAGAAAAUGACGGUACCUGAAGAAGAAGCCCCGGCUAACUACGUGACAGCAGCCGCGGAAAUACGAAGGGGGCGAGCGUUAUCCGGAUUUACUGGGUGUAAAGGGGGCGCAGACGGCGAUGCAAGCCAGGAGUGAAAGCCAGGGG
rnacentral:rRNA from 1 species